AUUGAACGCUGGCGGCAGGCCUAACACAUGCAAGUCGAACGAGUGGCGGACGGGUGAGUAAUGUCUGGGAAACUGCCUGAUGGAGGGGGAUAACUACUGGAAACGGUAGCUAAUACCGCAUACCAUCGGAUGUGUCCAGAUGGGAUUAGCUAGUAGGUGGGGUAAAGGCUCACCUAGGCGACGAUCCCUAGCUGGUCUGAGAGGAUGACCGGCCAAACUGGAACGGUACCACGGUCCGGACUCCUACGGGAGGAAGCAGUGGGGAAUAUUGCACAAUGGGCGCAAGCCGGAUGCAGACAUGCCGCGUGUUUGAAGAAGGCCUUCGGGUUGUAAAGUACUUUCAGCGGGAAGGCGUUACCCGCAGAAGAAGCACCGGCUAACUCCGUGCCAGCAGCCGCGGUAAUAC
rnacentral:rRNA from 1 species